GACACCCUAGUUACCCACAGCAGGUCAGUGGCAAGGACGACCCGACAGCCAGGGAUGAGGAACCAGGGGCCCAGAGCAGAGAUGGGACUUUCCUAGGACCAUGGAGACGGCAGAGAGGCCGGAGAGCUGCCUCUUGGGUGGCUAGCUUCCAGCAGCGUCUUCUCGCGAGAAAGGGACAGGUGGAACAGUGUGAUUAAAGGCCCAAAGCUAGGCUGAAUGUGAAGGGAGCUGCAUUCUACGAACUCAAGCAAGGACAGGACAGCCAUCCCCAGAUGCACGCCUCCCUCUUCCACGUAGUGGAGCGGAAGAGGACAUUUCAGCAAGCAUUCCACUUACCUGGAAUUGGCCAAUCUUCUGGCCAAAGGCUUCCCUCACAUGCAAAUAGGGAAUGGUGUGGUCCAGGACAGCUUGCAUGAUCCUGCCAAAAAGGAGAAAGACAACAUGGAGCUCCCUAGGACAAGCAGUUCUCCACAGGCCCUUCUUCCCUCAUGCUCUGCCUCGCUCCAGGUGCACAAGCAAUGGAGCCAAAGGACCACAGACUCGAUCCCUGAGACCCUGAGUAAAAACAAGUUCUUCCUUCC